GGAGAAGGCCAUAGCUAAGUGGUAGAGCAUGUACUUUGCAUGCAGACGUCCCAGGUUCAUUUCCUGGCAUCUCCA